CAGACCGGAGAUGAGGAGAAAGUCUCCUUCUCUGCAGACGCUCAAAUGCCUUCAUAAAGUCCUCUACUGAAACAGAUGUCAGCAUGAAGAUGGCUUUUUCGAUCUACUUUUUUGAAGAAAAAAUAUAAUAUUUUACGUUUUAUCACACUUUUUACAACAGCUAUCUAGCAUUAAGUCUUUUUUUAGGAUAAAAGUUUUUGCUUUUCGGUUCAAAAGACCGGGGAUUAAAUUGGAAGAUGAGGACAACGUUGUGCUUAUCUUCUUCAGACAAAAUGCCUUUAAUCAGAGAAGUUCUAUGUGUUCUUCCAUUAUAGUGUACCUAUAGCGUGUACAUUUUCCAGGCUGCAUUUGGCCAAUGAUCCCUGAAGGAGGAACGUGGAUGGGUUCCUAAGGCUGACUCAUGGUUUCUGUUUGGAGAGGUCCAAUUCAGAGCAGGUCGGCCCGCCUGAAACCUGUGUUUACACAGCCUCUCAGCCCAGACUGGGAGGCCCUAUUUUCACACCCAGGUGCUUUCCAAAGAAAACCUCCUGCAGAGGCCCCUUGCCUAAGCUGCCCUGAGGUCAGAGAAGAGGACGAAGCAAAAGACAGAAGUGGCAUUUAGCUGGACUGAUGGCACAAAGUCGGCUCUACGGGAAGGAACAUUAUUUUUCUCAGCAGUCAGCUUGUGACUGUUAGAGGCUGUGACAGCAGAAAAAUGUGUCACCAGCUCCAGUCCAAGCAACAGCUUUCUAUAAGAAGUCGUUUCUAAUCUGAGCUGCUUAGGUGCAGAUUGAAGCAGCACAGCAGGAGUAUAAUCAGUGUGGGCUGGAGUGAUGGACAUCAUUUUCCUGGACUGAACUGAACUGAGUGGACUGGCAAAAUGUGAGGGGGAAAAGUUUUGCAUUUGUUUUGCUCUAUGUAGUUGUAGUUUAAUUAAUUAAUUAAUUAAUUAAUUGUCUUUUAUUUCCUGGAAAAGUGAGAUGUAACAUUUAAACUGUUGUGUUGUUGCAUCAACGCAGCUUUGUUCUUCCUUUAAAAUGACAUUGAAACAUUUUUUCAGUACUUAAUUUCUGGUUAAUGAGCAACUUAUUCAGCUUUGGUACUUUCUUUUUGAUUUGUAGUUGCCUGUGACAUUCAGAUUAAAUUAUUUAAAACUUUGUAUUUUGGGCGAGUUAUGCAGAAUUCCAACCUUCAACUCAUUUUAGAGUGUUACUCAUGACUGCAGGGGGAACGAAACAACUAACUGAUGUCUGCAUCCAGGAGGUGAUGAUGAUUACCCAUGGGGCCGAAUAAAAUGUUAACGAGGGCCAGAUUUGGCCCACAGGCCUUGAAUUUGACACGUGAUCUAGACAACAUGUAGGUUUGAAAUCCUUCAUUGCUCAAAUGUUUGAUUUUUCUGAUCAUUUAGGACCAGCAGACUUGUGUAAACCAGCGCAAAGGUCCUGAUUAAAUUAAUUCGGUAUAAAUGCUGUUCAUACUGGUCCAACAUCUUUAUGGCCGACAGGCUGCAGGUCCCUGCACAGAAACACAAUCAGUAUUAUUUUUAUCACAUAUGGUUUCUGUUGAACAAAACAAGUCUGAUAGAUGAACAUGUCUUGCUUAAAAUAGGUAAAAAUGCAUACAUGAGUGAUUAGAUUGAAAUAUGUCUCACCUAGUCUGCAUGGUUGCUCUGAGCUGAACAUGUGGGGAGGGGUGAAUACUGCUGUGUGACAAGAAAAUAAAGCAAGAAAAACAAAACAAAAAAAUAAAAUAAAAUAAAAUAAAUCCACACAGGAUGACAUCAUUGUUUUAACUGCAUCCAAAUCUAGAGUAUAACAUGAUGUCCUCAUCAACAGCUUCUUGGACUGCUGAUAAAACCAACAUUUCAUUAGCAAUACAUCUAAAAUAAAUAAAAGUACAGCUUCAUUUAGCUGCAGAUUCAUAAAACGCAGUUAAUCUAAAACAUUUAACCAGAGUCAAAAGUUUAACAAGUUACUUUUUUUUUUCUCUU